GAUGAACGCUGGCGGCGUGCCUAAUACAUGCAAGUCGAGCGAACAGACGAGGAGCUUGCUCCUCUGACGUUAGCGGCGGACGGGUGAGUAACACGUGGAUAACCUACCUAUAAGACUGGGAUAACUUCGGGAAACCGGAGCUAAUACCGGAUAAUAUAUUGAACCGCAUGGUUCAAUAGUGAAAGACGGUUUUGCUGUCACUUAUAGAUGGAUCCGCGCAGCAUUAGCUAGUUGGUAAGGUAACGGCUUACCAAGGCAACGAUGCGUAGCCGACCUGAGAGGGUUAACGGCCACACUGGAACUGAGACACGGUCCAGACUCCUAAGGGAGGCAGCAGUAGGGAAUCUUCCGCAAUGGGCGAAAGCCUGACGGAGCAACGCCGGGGGAGUGAUGAAGGUCUUCGGAUCGUAAAACUCUGUUAUUAGGGAAGAACAAAUGUGUAAGUAACUAUGCACGUCUUGACGGUACCUAAUCAGAAAGCCACGGCUAACUACGUG
rnacentral:rRNA from 1 species